AAGUCCGUUUUCUGGUGUGUUCUGAGGCGGCCUUGUGGUUGCGUGGAGGCGGAAGUCUGGCGGCUGAGCUGUCCUAUGCUCUCUUUAAUUGGGAUCACCUACUGGAGAUCUUUUCUUGGAGAUGGACUCAUACAUUCCUGAAGAUCCACAUUUGGAAAACUGUUCUUUUUAAUGCUAAUGUUUCCAGUACCAUAUUGAACAACAGUGGUG